AAGUCGUAACAAGGUUUCCGUAGGUGAACCUGCGGAAGGAUCAUUAACGUGGCGGCCGCGAGGCCGUCGCUGAGAUAGAACCCUUGCCUUUUCGAGUACCCAACGUUUCCUCGGCGGGUCCGCCCGCCAACGGGGACACAACCAAAACCUUUUUUGCAACCUGACAUCAGUCUGAAUCAAAAACAAAUAAAUCAAAACUUUCAACAACGGAUCUCUUGGUUCUG
rnacentral:misc_RNA from 1 species